UAAUAGUCCGUGUCCUAGUCAAAUAGAAGCUAGCGGUACUUUGCAUCCGGCGGCUUGCAUGCCGUGUACGAGUCAAAGACUAAAAGCAAUUAGGAAAUACGAGUCGUCGUCGAUUGUUUGGAGUCGGCUGCUGCACCUAUAUAUAUGCAUCAGCCUGCGUCGUUUGUAAGCACCAGAAAAACGAGUCGUGCCUCUGGCCAUCUUCGUGUUGCUACGUUCGCGUGCGUGUGUUCUGGUCCCGGUGUUUGCAUAAGCGCCGGUGAGAUAACGAGUGCUACAACUAGUUCGUAUACGUUGAGCCGAGUUGCACGUACACGACUAGUCAAGCUGCAGGGUAAUCGUGUGUUCGAUCUUGAGGGCGAAAAGCCAACAAUUGGUAUCAGAGCAAGGUGUGGAGGCUUCGACGUCAAGUUGCGUCACGGUGGAGUUGUCGUCGCCGUCAAGUUGUGUCACAGACGACGGAAAAUCGAAGAAGAGGAUCAUGUCGACUUCGAAGGCGAGUGGUGGUGGUGUGACCAUCCAGUACCCCAUGCUUGAUGGUGACAAUUAUGGGGUGUGGGCUGCGAAGAUGAAGAUCUUCAUGCGUGCGCGUGGAGUUUGGGCAGCGGUGGAAGGUGAAGGCGCGGUCGAAGAGACAAAGGACCAAGAGGCUUUCGCCAUCAUAGCCCAAGGUGUGUCUGAUGCCGUUUUUAUGUCUAUAUCGGAGAAAGAGACGGCAAAGAAAGCUUGGGAAGCGCUCAAGGAGAUGCAUGCUGGAGAUGAUCGUGUCAAGAAGGCACGUGUUCAAGCCCUAAGGAGGGAGUUCGAGAGGAUGAGCAUGAAGGCGUCAGAAGGGGUUGGUGAAUUUGCGUUAAAACUAACCUCCCUAGUUAAUGAGAUGCGAGCUCUCGGAUCAAAGAUGGAAGACAUCGCGGUUGUGGAGAAAUUACUACGAGCCGUUCCCGACAAGUUUUUACCGAUCGUUGGCACCAUCGAGCAGUGGGGCGAUGUGACGAAGAUGUCGGUGAUGGAGGUGAUCGGGCGGCUAAAGACCUAUGAGUUGACAUUGAAAGGACGGGAACGCGACCAAGAAGAGGAGCAGUUGAUGUUCUCGCGCAAUAAGGAGAAAGAUAAGCAGAAGUACCGGAAGUUCGACAAAUCUAAAGUUCGGUGCUACAAUUGCCAGGACUAUGGACACUAUUCUCGAGAGUGUCCUGAUCCGCGGAAGGAGGCAAAGAAGGAGCAUGAGAUUCUGCAACUAGCUAAAGUUGACGUGGAUGACGGCCCAGGGUUGCUUUGAUGAAGAAGCUGCGGCGAAAAAAAAAAGUCGUGUCUUUAGUUUUUUCUUUGUGUCUGAGUCGUUAGUAUGUCUCGGCGGGAAGACGAAGGCCAACGUGAAGAUGGAUGCGCACCAGUUAAGUUGAGUUCCUGCAUGAAAGGUUAUGUGUUUAGUCUGCAUGUAGCACGUUAAGAUGUGACGGCGUGGGCUGGUAAUCCAGGUGAUAUGUUGGUUUUAAGUCAACAAGUCGAAAGUUUGGAUUAGGUGGUGAAUGUUAGUAAUCCAAACGUGUUAAGAGUAGAAAUAGGAAAGCUUAGUAUAAGCCGGUUUGUUUUCCGUGUAAUAGUCCGUGUCCUAGUCAAAUAAAAGCUAGCAGUACUUUGCAUCCGGGCCGUGUACGAGUCAAAGACUAAAAGCAAUUAGGAAAUACGAGUCGUGGUCGAUUGUUUGGAGUUGGCUACUGCACCUAUAUAUAUGCAUCAGCCUGCGUCGUUUGUAAGCACCAGAAAAACGAGAAAAGCAAUAAAGAGAUUAUUACGAGGCACGACACGUGCCUCUGGCC
rnacentral:lncRNA from 1 species